rnacentral:rRNA from 1 species
GUGUCAGCAGCCGCGGUAAGACAGAGGGUGCAAACGUUGCUCGGAAUUACUGGGCGUAAAGCGCGUGUAGGCGGACUGACAAGUCGGACGUGAAAGCCCUGGGCUCAACCCAGGAACUGCAUCCGAAACUGUCAGCCUGGAGUGGUGGAGAGGGAAGCAGAAUUCCUGGUGUAGAGGUGAAAUUCGUAGAUAUCAGGAGGAACACCGGUGGCGAAGGCGGCUUCCUGGACACUUACUGACGCUGAGACGCGAAAGCGUGGGGAGCAAACAGGAUUAGAUACCCGAGUAGUCC